GAGAGACCUAUGAACAUGCUAGGUUCACAUGAGGAGGAAGAUGAUCAUGGUGAGGUCUUCCUUGAUGAAGCUGACAUAAUCAAUGAAAUUCCAGUUGAUGAGGAAGAUCUUCCUGAUGCUGUUGAUGAAGAGGGCUCCGAUGAUGAAUAUUUUGAUGAGGCUGAUGAUUCCGUUCAUACUUUUACUGGCCAUACUGGUGAGGUUUACACAGUGGUCUGUAGUCCAAUAGAUGCCACAUUAGUUGCAACAGGGGGUGGAGAUGACAAAGGAUUUAUGUGGAAGAUUGGCCGAGGAGAUUUUGCCCAGGAGCUUAGUGGUCACAAGGAUUCCGUAUCUAGCUUAGCAUUUAGUGCAGAUGGACAACUACUUGCAUCAGGGAGUUUUGAUGGGCUUAUCCAAAUUUGGGAUACUUCAUCUGGGAAACUUAAAUGUGCACUUGAAGGCCCUGGAGGGGGAAUUGAGUGGGUAAGGUGGCAUCCAAGAGGACAUCUGGUUUUGGCUGG
rnacentral:misc_RNA from 1 species